GUUGGAGUUGCAGCAAAGAAAGAUGCAAGCGAAGCCAAUCGGUCCGUUGUGGCAACGCUGCUGAAUAUCCAGAAGUUAAAGC